rnacentral:rRNA from 1 species
UACGUGUGAGGCAAGCGUUAUUCGUCUUUAAUGGGUCUAAAGGGUACGUAGGCGGUAUAUGUAAUCAUAUUAUUAAUCACAUGUGUGUGGAUUUGAUAUUUAUAUACUAGAGUUUGAAGGGAGUAACAGGCACAACAAGAGUAGUGUAGUAAUACUAGUAUACUUGAGGGGUCUCAUAGCGGCGAAGGCGUGUUACUAUGUAAGACUGACGCUGAGACGCGAAAGCGUGGGGAGCAAACAGG